AUGUGCAUUGUCGCAACGCGUGCCACUGUGGCCUUCAGCGUGUCACCGUUCACCAUUUGCAGCUCCCUCGCACACCGGUUGCAACUCCCCGCCAUACACGGCUGCAGCUCUCUCUUCCGGUUGCCGGGGGAAGAGGAUGUAGCUUCGCCGGCCAUCGACAGUGCUCCCUCUGGACAUCCGUUGCGGCUCUACCUCUCGUCGUUGCAGCUUUAUCCGCCUCUAUCGAUGAUCCUGCCACCUCGUGGAUGCAGCACCAUGGUUGCGUCCAACACCACCACUAGGAAGUUGCAGCCCCGCCGCCUGGCAUUGCAGCAUCGCCACCAGAAACUCACAACACGGGCGCACGGGCUUGUGGCUGACCUUGCUCAAAUUCGAUCCGGCGGCCUCGACUGCAGUCCCCGGCACUGGGAUCGGGAUUGA
rnacentral:rRNA from 1 species